UUUCGGUGCUUGAAUUUAAUUAAAGAAUAAUUACCAGAAACUAUUAUAGGAAACAUUCGAAUCAAAGGGUGUUAAGUUGUACUCCCCCUGCAAGGAGACAAGCCCUAUACGUCUGCGUCUAUACCUUUCGUAGGUCAUAGUGUUCUCCACAACAAACGUAAGGGGAUCCGUCCAUUGCAAUGUCGGGGUGGACUUCUUCGCUGAGACUACGUGUUGUUGUGAGUGCCAUGAACACAAAUUUUGUCAUCUAAAUAUAUGAGUGGCCGUCGGUAGUUUGCUUCAGUCGAGGGAAUCCAUUUCAAUCCUUCUGGAUGGCUACAGUAAGCGCCACAGUGAAUAAAAGAAAUUUCAUCUGCAUCGGAAGUGGAAUGGUCCAUAAAUUCUAAUUAAGGUAGGUAUUUAUUAAAAAUAUUUAUUUUUAAUGUUGUAUGUUUCGGGUAUGCUCGCAAAAGGUAAAGAGAACUGACAAAUUAAACCAUUAAACUGUCAUGUUUCUUUCUAUUCAUCAGUUACCUCUCGCAUUAUGAAUUUAUGCACACGUAAUGUACCCUUAAUUGAUUUAUCCGUUGGUAGGUAAUUCCC